CGGGGCGGGGUGAGUAAUGUCUGGGAAACUGCCUGAUGGAGGGGGAUAACUACUGGAAACGGUAGCUAAUACCGCAUAACGUCGCAAGACCAAAGAGGGGGACCUUAGGGCCUCUUGCCAUCGGAUGUGCCCAGAUGGGAUUAGCUAGUAGGUGGGGUAACGGCUCACCUAGGCGACGAUCCCUAGCUGGUCUGAGAGGAUGACCAGCCACACUGGAACUGAGACACGGUCCAG
rnacentral:rRNA from 1 species